GAGGGUAUAGCUCAGUGGUAGAGCGUGUGCUUAGCAUGCAUGAGGUCCUGGGUUCAAUCCCCAGUAUGGUCA
rnacentral:tRNA from 1 species